rnacentral:rRNA from 1 species
GAACCUUACCAUCCUUUGACAUGGCGUGUUACCCAGAGAGAUUUGGGGUCCUCUUCGGAGGCGCGCACACAGGUGCUGCAUGGCUGUCCUCAGCUCGUGUCGUGAGAUGUUGGGUUAAGUCCCGCAACGAGCGCAACCCACGUCCUUAGUUGCCAUCAUUCAGUUGGGCACUCUAGGGAGACUGCCGGUGAUAAGCCGCGAGGAAGGUGUGGAUGACGUCAAGUCCUCAUGGCCCUUACGGGAUGGGCUACACACGUGCUACAAUGGCGGUGACAGUGGGACGCGAAGGGGCGACCUGGAGCAAAUCCCCAAAAGCCGUCUCAGUUCGGAUUGCACUCUGCAACUCGGGUGCAUGAAGGCGGAAUCGCUAGUAAUCGUGGAUCAGCAUGCCACGGUGAAUACGUUCCCGGGCCUUGUCACACCGA